rnacentral:misc_RNA from 1 species
GCUCAAUCUUUCAUCCUUGCCAUCAGAGGAAGCAAUGAACAUUAACUCCUUCAAACUUGCCUCAAAGUUAGAUGUGCACUUCACAAUUUUCUGGAAGUCUACCAGUUUGGAAGCAUCAUCAGGCACUCUCUUGGAGAGGAAGUUGGAUACUAUCAAAUCUGACAUCCUUGGCCAUGUUAAUUUUCCAAAGCACAGCAUCCAUGUACUAUUUUCAAAGCACAAAGACUUACUAAUAAACUUGAUAACAUCAAU